rnacentral:tRNA from 1 species
CGGAAUUUAAUUUAGGUAGAAUGUUGGCUUUGGGGGUCAGUAGUAGGGGUUAGAGUCCCUUAGUUCCGAGGUUA